AAGAGCAGCAGCAGCAGCUGCCUACACCUGGAGGGGAAUGAAGGCAGACAAUCAGGGCAGCGUGCUGCGUCUUGUGUGCAUUCCUGCGGCGGCUGCAAGUCUGUGCAGGGAACAUUCCACCGCCGCCUUCCUGCCGCGCUCCCACCUCGGCUGCUUGGAAAAGAGGAGGAAAUGACACCAAUGCUGCUAAGAUGGCCCCGGAGCUUUGCGCUUCGCUGGGCCUGCUUAGAAAUCCUGGAGUAGCGAGGCAGGAUAGUGAGGCAGCGUCCUCUGAUCAGCAGCAGCACGGGUGGAGGAGAACCCCGGGGCUGUUCCAGGACAACGAGGUGGGAUGGUGCCCCAACACCCCGAGCUUCCCCCGGCCAUCACGGUGACUUCACAUAUGUGUUUGGAGGAGGACAAACAACGUGCACUGAGUUGCUCUGCCUAAGUUUCACCACCGUGCACGGAUAAGGGGCAGAGGACACAACUGAAUGCUGUACAUGAACAUGGAAUGUGAGCAUUAAAAUUACAAACGAGCCUUGAUUUCCUACUCAAGACACUUUGCUCGGACCCUAAUGGAGCACAGUACAGUGAACUCCUGAAUAUUGUUGAUACCAUCCAGGGUUGAGGCACACGGAAGCAGAUCUGACCCAUUCCACAUCCAUGCACCAUGCAGGCUCGGUCUGCUUGGGGCUGCUCCACCUUCCUGCAAGAGAAUUUGUCUUUGUGCAUCGCAUCGUGAUCCCGAGCUUGCACUAAAAAAAGCUGGAAAGAGCAGAUAGAUGGAAACGGAAAGCAAAGCACAUAAAAGCUCAGCUCAGCAGAUCUGUCUUUGUGCUGCCUCCUCCCAAUUCUCAUAUGCUGCCUGCUGAGCUGACAAGAGGUGCACUGCAGCUAGAGCUUUUUUUCCUUUUGCCUCCUGUUGUCUUCACAGAAUUUCAGACUAGGCUGCCAGCUGCUCACUCAUGCCAGAGCAGGAUGAGUAAUAGUGUCUUCAUUCCUAAAUGAGACCCUCUGAUUCAUGGUACGUGCUCGCCAUUUUCUCCAAGCGCCGAGGGAAUCAAAGUUUCUCAUGGGCCCUCUGUAGAGAGAUUAACGUGUUAGCAAAAGCCUGAUGGGGAACGUGGGUAAAUAAUGCUCUUUUGUGUGUUUGUUCUUUGCCUGCAGUUCUUCCCCUUAAAGCAGAGCCCAUCAGCAUUUCCAUGGAUAUUACAUCCAUUAUCAUAAUGAGCAUGAGGUAUAUCUUGCUCACCAUCUUGCUAAUUCUGCCCCGACUGUGCUUCUGUAAUCUUCAUCAGAUUGCAUCUUCAGCAGAGCCGCAAUAGCUGCAGUCAUGAGAUCAUGCCCAAAGAAGUCUGAAGUUCAUAUGCAAUGCUUUAUGUAUUUUUCCAAGGAAAACAUCCAGAGGAAACUCAUAAAACGUCUGCUCUCUCUUAUGCUGCUUCAGAACUAAGAGUCUUGUAAAUCAUUGCUGAACGGGAUGCUAUAAGCUUUUCUACCUCUAUUAUGUAUUAUGGGGAAAUUAAUAAGUAAUGGGAUCUGUGAGAUGGAAAGGAAGGAAACCCAUAGGGUAGGUGAUACAGAGGCGUAAUAUACAAGGCAACGAAAGGCCCUUUUAAAUCACAGUUACAUUAAGCUGAUAUUCACCAAAGCCACGUGUUAAAAUGCUUUUUUUCCCCAUAAAAUAUUGAAGCUCCUUUCUGCAGCGACAAGUCGUGGUUCCCACAAUCCAAGAGGAUGGGAGGAGGGGCGAGGAGCCUGAUUGUACACCGUGUGAGUGGGACAGCGUGGUGCGCCCGUACUGCAGCAUCACAGCACAUGGAAGCUCCUUUCGGGAGCACAGAUCCUCACAACUGGUUCAGAGGAUGAGCACGCUCCAAAUUCCCCAGCAAAUAUCCUUUUCCUUCCACCUCUUGCUCCUGGCAUGGUCACAGCAUUAAUACCCACGUAACUUCCCUGAAGCCACGAAUGCACCAGGGAAAGAGGAGCUUGCAGAGUGCUCUUCCAGGUGCACCACAGAGCUCUGAGAAGCCACAAACCUCGCUCCUCAUCUCUGCUCACAUCGUGCAUCUCUGGGCUAACAGCUCCCUCGCUCCUUUCCACCAUCCCUCAUCCUAUUUCUCACAUGCUGGGCAGUCACACUGCUCAUAUAUCACCCUCCCCAGGCUGUCAGGAGCACCAGCAAACCCACGCACCCAAUGACUUUGCACCAGGCAGAGCUCCGUGUCUCAGUGCCCUGCCCUGCUCAGGCUGGAGCUGCAGGAAGCCCAUAUCCACCCGUGGGCAGCAGCAGAGCUGAUGCUGCUUUGGGACUCUGACCUGCACAAGGAGCCUUGCCCCUCUGCCCCUCCACUGAACACAUCUGCUUUUCUCAGCUCGCUUCAUCUGCUGCUCCCACUCCAGUGCUGCUUUGCACAUAGCACAGCCCUGCUCGGGCACGAAGCAUGUCAGUGCAAGCAAAUCCCCUUCAGCCCUCCCAAAGCCUGCAGACACCUCAGCUCACAGUCUGGCAUUGUGUCUGCAAAGAGACCUGCCAGAAACUGCAGUUCUGGUAAUGUCACCCCUAACUUCAUUGCUGCCCCACAGUGUAUGAGAUGAAGCCACUGAGUUCUACAAGUUGGGCAAUGCCAUCAGCACAAACUGGCACAGCAGCUGUAAGCUUCCUCCUUGUCUCACACCUGAAACUUCAGGAGUUCUGCACCUGGGAAAGCCCAUCAUCAGUUUGGUAGAUAAAGCAAUGGAAGCAAAGGGAACGUAAGAGGGCCGGUACUGAACAUCAGCUUUUCGACUGAGAAAACACAAAUGCCCCUUCCUGUCCCCCACGCCUUCAGAACCCGCUGGGUCUGAUAGCUGUAUCAAUGUGAUGGAUGUCAAUGUUCUCAUUUACAUCGGGAUAUCGCUCUUACCACAGCCCUCAGACUGCAUAGAUUAUGUUGAAUGCAGUGAAAAGAUGUCAGUCUGCACACUCUAAGAGUUUGCUCUGCUCAUGUCAAAGGCAAUUUGUUACCAGGGUGAGCAAGAGCAGACUCAACCCCCCUCUUUCAUGAAACCAUGUAAUAUCUGCUCUCUGCUAAAUGAAGCCCUAUAGAAAAAGGUUCAGUGCUGAAUCUCUACCUUGGAUCACAUCAUUUUAAUGCCUUUUUCUUCCUUUUUUUUCUUCUUUUACCUCCCAUUAAAGCUUGUAAAA
ensembl:lncRNA